UCCUUAAUUAUAUUGGCCAUACGUACUAGAUAUAAUAAUAUGAUGAUGCCCUCUACCUAUUAAUAUAAACCCCACAGCCACAGGGGAAUAAGACACUGAUCCCGAAUCACUCUCAUUGUCUGAAACUAAAUCAAACCUUCACGAGAUGAUAGUACCAAAGACAUGAUGAUGUCUUCUUGGUGCUUGGCAGUUGGCACCCUAAUGUAUAUUUUCCCUGCCCUGUCAAAU
rnacentral:lncRNA from 1 species